UACGAAGGGAGCGAGCGUUGUUCGGAAUCACUGGGCUUAAAGCGUGCGUAGGCGGAGAUGCAAGUCAGGAGUGAAAUCCCGGGGCUUAACCCCGGAACUGCUCUUGAAACUGCAUCCCUAGAAUCCGGAAGAGGUUGGCGGAACUCCGAGUGUAGAGGUGAAAUUCGCAGAUAUUCGGAAGAACACCAGUGGCGAAGGCGGCCAACUGGUCCGGUAUUGACGCUGAGGCACGAAAGCGUGGGUAGCAAACAGG
rnacentral:rRNA from 1 species